rnacentral:rRNA from 1 species
GACGAACGCUGGCGGCGUGCUUAACACAUGCAAGUCGAACGGAAAGGCCCUGCUUUUGUGGGGUGCUCGAGUGGCGAACGGGUGAGUAACACGUGAGUAACCUGCCCCUGACUUUGGGAUAACUUCAGGAAACUGCGGCUAAUACCGGAUACGAGCUCCUGCUGCAUGGUGGGGGUUGGAAAGUUUCGGCGGUUGGGGAUGGACUCGCGGCUUAUCAGCUUGUUGGUGGGGUAGUGGCUUACCAAGGCGUUGACGGGUAGCCGGCCUGAGAGGGUGACCGGCCACAUUGGGACUGAGAUACGGCCCAGACUCCUACGGGAGGCAGCAGUGGGGAAUAUUGCACAAUGGGCGGAAGCCUGAUGCAGCAACGCCGCGUGCGGGAUGACGGCCUUCGGGUUGUAAACCGCUUUCGCCUGGGACGAAGCGUGAGUGACGGUAAUGGGUAAAGAAGCACCGGCUAACUACGUG